rnacentral:rRNA from 1 species
CCCUUAGAUGUUCUGGGCUGCACGCGCGCUACACUGAUGCGCUCAACGAGUUUACGACCUUGCCCGGAAGGGUUGGGUAAUCUUUUUAAAACGCAUCGUGAUGGGGAUAGAUUAUUGCAAUUAUUAAUCUUUAACGAGGAAUUCCUAGUAAGCGCGAGUCAUCAGCUCGUGCUGAUUACGUCCCUGCCCUUUGUACACACCGCCCGUCGCUACUACCGAUUGGAUGGUUUAGUGAGACCCACGGAUUGGUCCCAGCAUGGCGGGUUACCGCCGCGCUGGCGCGCCGAGAAGUCGGUCGAACUUGAUUAUCUAGAGGAAGUAAAAGUCGUAACA